rnacentral:rRNA from 1 species
UACGUAGGGUGCAAGCGUUGUCCGGAAUUAUUGGGCGUAAAGAGCUUGUAGGUGGUUUGUCGCGUCUGCUGUGAAAAUCCGAGGCUCAACCUCGGACUUGCAGUGGGUACGGGUAGACUAGAGUGUGGUAGGGGAGACUGGAAUUCCUGGUGUAGCGGUGGAAUGCGCAGAUAUCAGGAAGAACACCCGUGGCUAAGGCGGCUCUCUAGUACGGUACUGACGCUGAGACGCGAAAGCGUGGGGAGCGAACAGG